rnacentral:lncRNA from 1 species
AAACUAUACAAACUAGAAGGCAAUCUCAUCUUUUAAUACAUUCCUCACCCCCAACCUAUACUGUCCCCCUCAAUGGCCCUUAUUGCAGCACAUCCUGGCUCAGGGCCUUUGCAUGUGCUGUUGCCUCGAGCUGCAAGCCCUUACUCAGCCACCCCCAUUGCUCCUGCUCACCCCUUGACGGAGCACGACCUGGGCAGUGUGGCCCUCAAUUCAAAUCACACAUCCCACCCCCUGCUGGAUUUCCCACACAGCAGUUAACUUGCAGCAUACUACAUAUAUAUUUUCCUUAUCUUGUAAACUCUGUCUCCCUGCCCUAGAACUCAACUGCUGGAAGACAGGGUUUUCUGUUUCUUUUGUUCAGUGUGGACUCCCCAGCGCCUAGAGGAGGUGCUCAAUUACUUUUUGCUGAGAAUGAAAGUGAUGAAGGGGUUUCAGGGGGUGCUUUAGCGGGAUGAAAGGACAGGGUCCAGGAGCUGAGUGGGGCAGCAGAACAGCACAUGAGGGGACUGCAGGUGCGGCGCCAGGAUUCCUCAGCAGUCGUCCCCACCCGCACCUGCAGUCUCCUC